rnacentral:SRP_RNA from 1 species
GAAGAGAUGCCUCGACGCACUCGCCCAAAACCCCGCCAGGCCGGAAACGGAGCAACGGUAUGGGAUGAGUGCGGGUGGGGCUUUUUUUGUUUAU